CCUACGGGUGGCUGCAGUAAGGAAUAUUGGUCAAUGGACGCAAGUCUGAACCAGCCAUGCCGCGUGGAGGAUGAAGGCCCUCUGGGUUGUAAACUUCUUUUAUUUGGGACGAAAAAAGGUCAUUCUUGGCCGUCUGACGGUACCAGAUGAAUAAGCACCGGCUAACUCCGUGCCAGCAGCCGCGGUAAUACGGAGGGUGCAAGCGUUAUCCGGAUUUACUGGGUUUAAAGGGUGCGCAGGCGGAUAUGUAAGUCAGUGGUGAAAUCUCCAGGCUU
rnacentral:rRNA from 1 species